GACGAACGCUGGCGGCGUGCUUAACACAUGCGAGUCGAACGGAAAGGCCCUGCUUUUGUGGGGUGCUCGAGUGGCGAACGGGUGAGUAACACGUGAGUAACCUGCCCUUGACUCUGGGAUAACUUCAGGAAAUUGGGGUUAAUACCGGAUAGGAGCUCCUGCUGCAUGGUGGGGGUUGGAAAGUUUCGGAGGUUGGGGAUGGACGUGCGGCUUAUCAGCUUGUUGGUGGGGUAGUGGCUUACCAAGGCUUUGACGGGUAGCCGGCCUGAGAGGGUGACCGGCCACAUUGGGACUGAGAUGCGGCCCAGACUCCUACGGGAGGGAGCAGUGGGGAAUAUUGCACAAUGGGCGGAAGCCUGAUGCAGCAACGCCGCGUGCGGGGUGACGGCCUUCGGGUUGUAAACCGCGUUCGCCUGUGACGAAGCGUGAGUGACGGUAAUGGGUAAAGAAGCGCCGGCUAACUACGUG
rnacentral:rRNA from 1 species